UGAAAGGCGAAACGUAAUGUGAAUCGCAACUAACAGUGAAUCAUCGAAUCUUUGAACGCAGGCCGCACCUUGCAACAUCAUUCUGUGUUGUUGCAAGGUAUCUACGUAUGAGUGUCAGCCCAAUAUCAUUUUGGUUCAAGAGGAUAAUAUAGAUUUUAUUUCUUUAUGAAUACUCUUGGAUACAUAUUUAUAAUUUUAUGUUUUAAACAUAUUAUUUUAUAUGUCUGGCCUCAUAUGUGGAAGGUUACCCGCUGGAUUUAA
rnacentral:misc_RNA from 1 species